rnacentral:lncRNA from 1 species
CUUUUCUAUCAGAAAGAGGGUUCUUACUGGGGCUUAUGGAGGAUUGAGGGGGACCUUGAGCAGAUACUGGAGUGGGAGCAGUGGAAGUCUGACUAGCUUGCCUUUUCUUUCGGACAAUUUUUUCAGGCUCACGGAUUGACUUUCUUCUUUAGGGAAGUUUCAUCUUCGGAGCCAUAUUCAAUAUAGUAGCAGGCAAGGAGACUUGAAUUGAGUGGAGGAGGGAUCACAAGAGAGUAAAGAGGGAUUUUGGUGGAGAAAAGAAGUGGAUUUGGGAAGAUCGAUGAAGUGCUAGGGCACGUUCCAACCGCGCCAAACAAUGCGAGACAGCUCAAAAAAUCCCUUUCCAAGGUAGCGAUUUUUGGUGGAGAGGAGGAGGGAGAAGUGCUUCGAAUUGGAUCCUUGGAUUUGUAGCAAAAGAAUUGGAG